rnacentral:rRNA from 1 species
GUGGUGUCACAAAAUCGGAGGCCCCGACUGUUUACUAAAAACACAAUUCAGAGCAAUGAUGUAAAUCAUAGUAUUCUGGAUGAAAUUUGCCCGAUGCCAUUAACAUAAAAGAGGUAAUGGGAAACUGUUACUAAUUGAAAGUCUGGUUAAUAGCGGUCUUAACUAUGAGGAUCCUAAGGUAGCAAAAUCAGUUGGCCAUUAAAUGUGGUCUGGUAUCAAUAGUGUAACGAUGGUCUCACUGUCUCUACAACUUGCUCAGUGAAAUUGAAUUAUCCGUGCAGAUGCGGAUUGCCUCCAGGGUGGGACGGGAAG